GGGGUUGUAGCUUAGUGGUUGAGCAUUUGCCUUGCAUGCAUGAGGCGCUGGGUUCAAUCCUCAGCGCCA
rnacentral:tRNA from 1 species